GAACGCUGGCGGCGUGCCUAAUACAUGCAAGUCGAACGAACUCUGGUAUUGAUUGGUGCUUGCAUCAUGAUUUACAUUUGAGUGAGUGGCGAACUGGUGAGUAACACGUGGGAAACCUGCCCAGAAGCGGGGGAUAACACCUGGAAACAGAUGCUAAUACCGCAUAACAACUUGGACCGCAUGGUCCGAGCUUGAAAGAUGGCUUCGGCUAUCACUUUUGGAUGGUCCCGCGGCGUAUUAGCUAGAUGGUGGGGUAACGGCUCACCAUGGCAAUGAUACGUAGCCGACCUGAGAGGGUAAUCGGCCACAUUGGGACUGAGACACGGCCCAAACUCCUACGGGAGGCAGCAGUAGGGAAUCUUCCACAAUGGACGAAAGUCUGAUGGAGCAACGCCGCGUGAGUGAAGAAGGGUUUCGGCUCGUAAAACUCUGUUGUUAAAGAAGAACAUAUCUGAGAGUAACUGUUCAGGUAUUGACGGUAUUUAACCAGAAAGCCACGGCUAACUACGUGCCAGCAGCCGCGGUAAUACGUAGGUGGCAAGCGUUGUCCGGAUUUAUUGGGCGUAAAGCGAGCGCAGGCGGUUUUUUAAGUCUGAUGUGAAAGCCUUCGGCUCAACCGAAGAAGUGCAUCGGAAACUGGGAAACUUGAGUGCAGAAGAGGACAGUGGAACUCCAUGUGUAGCGGUGAAAUGCGUAGAUAUAUGGAAGAACACCAGUGGCGAAGGCGGCUGUCUGGUCUGUAACUGACGCUGAGGCUCGAAAGUAUGGGUAGCAAACAGGAUUAGAUACCCUGGUAGUCCAUACCGUAAACGAUGAAUGCUAAGUGUUGGAGGGUUUCCGCCCUUCAGUGCUGCAGCUAACGCAUUAAGCAUUCCGCCUGGGGAGUACGGCCGCAAGGCUGAAACUCAAAGGAAUUGACGGGGGCCCGCACAAGCGGUGGAGCAUGUGGUUUAAUUCGAAGCUACGCGAAGAACCUUACCAGGUCUUGACAUACUAUGCAAAUCUAAGAGAUUAGACGUUCCCUUCGGGGACAUGGAUACAGGUGGUGCAUGGUUGUCGUCAGCUCGUGUCGUGAGAUGUUGGGUUAAGUCCCGCAACGAGCGCAACCCUUAUUAUCAGUUGCCAGCAUUAAGUUGGGCACUCUGGUGAGACUGCCGGUGACAAACCGGAGGAAGGUGGGGAUGACGUCAAAUCAUCAUGCCCCUUAUGACCUGGGCUACACACGUGCUACAAUGGAUGGUACAACGAGUUGCGAACUCGCGAGAGUAAGCUAAUCUCUUAAAGCCAUUCUCAGUUCGGAUUGUAGGCUGCAACUCGCCUACAUGAAGUCGGAAUCGCUAGUAAUCGCGGAUCAGCAUGCCGCGGUGAAUACGUUCCCGGGCCUUGUACACACCGCCCGUCACACCAUGAGAGUUUGUAACACCCAAAGUCGGUGGGGUAACCUUUUAGGAACCAGCCGCCUAAGGUGGGACAGAUGAUUAGGG
rnacentral:rRNA from 3 species